ACAUCAAUCCAGAGCAUCUUCAAGAUUUGAAGCAAAGCAAAACAUCUAGCAGAGUGAAAAGUUUGGACACUAUACUGGGAGAUAGAACCACUGGCACUCCAACCUCAGAUGCUGACUCAGGGCAGGCUAAACCAGAGAUAUCCAUCAAAGAAACAGUACCCAUCCUGCAGAGUCUAUCUUUAACUUCCUCUAACACAACAUCCACUGUGUCUUCUGUCUCAGCGCCAUCAGAUGCACCUGAGACCACUAAUGUUAAAAGCUCAUUGUCUACCCUUCAAAGAAAAAACACUCCAACUGCCAUUGCUGCCCCAUUGAAAGACAUGCCUGCUUUUGAUUCAAAAUCCAAAGCCAGUGCAAGCACCACCCCCCAACUUUCUGGGUUGGCUGAAGUAAAAACAUCCACCAUCCAACCUCCACAGUCUGAUCAGACUUGUGCCAAAAUUUCAAGCUCUGUUGGCUUGGCAAAUGGACAGACAGCAAGUAUUUCAGCUCAACUCUCCAAACAAAUCUCAGACAGAACACAAAAUUCCGAUGCAUCAAGUGGUAGCAGAGGAUUCAGAGUGCAAACCCAUCAGUCUCAACAGGGCUUAAACGAAAAUCAACAUGGAGACAAAGUAAAUGCAGAGAAGGCAAGUAGCCAAUCCAAUUUAAUGGUGACGGAUCUUAAAACCCUGCCAGCAUGUAGAGACAAAAUGGACUCGAGAGACAAAAUGGCUUCUAAAAAGGACUCCAAAUGCAGUAUGAGUGAAAAGGUUACUUGUGCCUCUAACCCUUCAGUCAAAGCUGAAGUUUCAGAAAACUGUGAAAAGCAGGAAGCCAUCUUCAGAAACCAAGUAAACAUGAAUUUCACAUCAAUGGACAUGGGUGCAAGCCCUCCAAAGACUAGUAGUUGUGACACUUCAACAAAAGACACUGUGCAUGCGCAAUCUGCAAUUAAAACAGAAGAAAUACCGAAGUCCAAAAGUGUUUUUGAUGUAGACAAGGAGAAGGCCAAGAAGCAAGUUAUGGACAUGUCCAUGACAGAGACAAGUACAGCACAGAGUGCAAUAAAACAGACGCAACCAUCUGGUAGUGCUACAUUAAAAAAAACCCCUUUGAGUUCCAAAAACAAGCCCAGAGUAGACUCUCCGCUUGUUACUCAGUCUUUUGGGAAGACAAUAGAAGAUAAGGGAAAGCAGGAAAACAUAGCACAGCUACAGCCUAUUGUCAAAGAUAACAUAGUAAAACCAAAGGAGCUAAGAGAGUCAGUCUUGUCUACACCUAAAUCUCAGCCUCAUAAAGACACCCGCACUGGUUCUCAAUGUGGCUCUGUGCCAGUGUUGCCCGUGCCAGCAGUUAAAAUCCAUGUGUCUUGUGGACUGCCUUCUGGUAAGGGCAGCGCUACUGUAGUUGAAUCACUUGGACCUUCCUCAGAGGAACAAGUGAAGUCCAAAAUUGCUAUUCCAAGAUCAGAGUCUCUCAAGGGCUCCAGCACAAGUGAUCCCAUAGGGACAACUACUGCUACUAUAUCCAGUCCUGACCCUAAACAUGCCUCCAGUGAGUCAAAGGUAACUUACAAACAAAUUUCAUCCAACCAAAAAGAGCAAGUGGAAAAGAAGAGAAAGGAACCUACUCAAGAUACAUCUUCAGCACCCAAAACUAACCGCAAAGACUCAUCAAGAGGCAUGCCUUUGGCAAAGGAUAGUACUAAUAUUGAAAAAGAAGCAGUCCGUCCUAAACAAACAAAGGAUACACCACGUGGUUCAACUUGUAAAAAGUGAUGUAUUGUAUUGUAUUGUUGCCAAGCGUAUUGAAUUUGAAAAGACUAUGAGGAUGUAAACAUCAUUUUUGUCUAUAUGUGAUAUCAUGAACCCUUUCUAUCUGAGGACCGGUGAAGCUGUUACUUUGGGUUUUCAUAAGAAACCAGAGAUGAAUUUGUUUGUUUUUGUUGUGCUCUAUCAUGCUCCGUUUAUUGUC
ensembl:lncRNA